rnacentral:rRNA from 1 species
CAUGCAAGUCGAACGCGUGUAGCAAUACACGAGUGGCGAAAGGGCGAGGAAUAGAUUCCUACGAACCCCGGAGUCAGGGAUAACCAUCGGAAACGAUGGCUAACACCUGAUGAUCUCGAAAGAGCAAAGUUUACGCUCUGGGAGCGGGGAAUCUCCUAUCAGCUAGUUGGUGAGGUAACGGCUCACCAAGGCUAAGACGGGUAGCGGGUGUGAGAGCACGGCCCGCCGCAUCGGGACUGAGACACUGCCCGGACUCCUACGGGAGGCUGCAGUAACGAAUCUUCCGCAAUGCACGAAAGUGUGACGGGGCAAUGCCGCGUGUGGGAUGAAGCCCCUCGGGGUGUAAACCACUGUCAGGGUCUAGGAACACAAUGACCAUACCCAAAGGAAGCACCGGCUAACUCUGUGCCAGCAGCCGCGGUAAUACAGAGGGUGCGAGCGUUAAUCGGAAUCACUGGGCUUAAAGGGUCCGUAGGCGGGACUGCAGGCGUCGAGUGAAAUACCACGGCUCAACCGUGGAACUGCUCGGCGAACCGCAGUUCUUGAGGCGAGUAGAGGCGAUCAGAACGAUAGGUGGAGCGGUGAAAUGCGUAGAUAUCUAUCGGAAUGCCGAAGGUGAAGACAGGUCGCUGGGCUCGUCCUGACGCUGAGGGACGAAAGCGUGGGGAGCAAACGGGAUUAGAUACCCCGGUAGUCCACGCCGUAAACAAUGCGCACUGGGUCGGAGAGGUUUGA